rnacentral:lncRNA from 10 species
GAUUCUUUCUCUUUUCUUGUUGAAAAUAGGGCACUUGCCCCUUUGGAGUCAGCCACCAUGUUAUGAGGAAGUCUGGGACACAUGAAGAGGCCACAUGCACUUAUUCUGUCUAAAAGCCCUAGCUAAUUGCAAGGCUGACAGCCAGCAGCAACUAUCAUUUUUGUGAAUAAAUAAGUCUUCAGAUGAUUCCAAAUCCCAGCCUUUGAGUCACCCCAGCUGAUGUCAAGUAGAGCAAAGAUGAGCUAUCCUCACCGAACUCCAUCUAAAUUGCUGAUUCCUGAGCAAAAUAAAU